AUACGUAGGGGGCAAGCGUUAUCCGGAUUUACUGGGUGUAAAGGGAGCGUAGACGGCAAAGCAAGUCUGAAGUGAAAGCCCCGGGCUCAACCCGGGAAUUGCUUUGGAAACUGUUUAGCUAGAGUGCAGGAGAGGUAAGCGGAAUUCCUAGUGUAGCGGUGAAAUGCGUAGAUAUUAGGAGGAACACCGGCGGCGAAGGCGGUUUACUGAACUGUACCUGACGUGUAGGCUCGAAAGCGUGGGGAGCAAACAGGAUUAGAUACCCUGGUAGUCCACGCCGUAAACGAUGAUUACUAGGGGUUGGUUGUCAUAGACAAUCGGUGCCGCAGCAAACGCAAUAAGUAAUCCACCUGGGGAGUACGUUCGCAAGAAUGAAACUCAAAGGAAUUGACGGGG
rnacentral:rRNA from 1 species